GGCUUCAGCUGGAAAAAUGAAAUUUACAUUUUCUGCUGUUAAACACUACAUGACGUUCUGGCCUCUUUUACAUACUUUGACAAACAAAUUUGCGUGGGAAUUUUCCUUCAACGGCUCCUGGUGUUUUCAGCCUGCUGUAUUUAAUCAAUCAGGACAUGUAUAGAUUAUAAGCUGUGUGUGGAGGACGCUGAGUGUGUUUGUAUGCCUGGUGUUGUGUAAACUUUAUAUAUGUUAAUUUAAACCUGAUUCCUCUGCAUCUCUCUCUGUCAUUCAUAGUCAUUGUCACUUUCCCGGUUUGGUUUAGUGCCUUUUCUCUCAGACACUCUGAAAUAAAAACAGUAAUACCUCUGGAAA